rnacentral:rRNA from 1 species
GUGGGGAAUUUUGGACAAUGGGCGCAAGCCUGAUCCAGCAAUGCCGCGUGCAGGAAGAAGGCCUUCGGGUUGUAAACUGCUUUUGUACGGAACGAAACGGUCCUGGCUAAUACCCGGGGCUAAUGACGGUACCGUAAGAAUAAGCACCGGCUAACUACGUGCCAGCAGCCGCGGUAAUACGUAGGGUGCGAGCGUUAAUCGGAAUUACUGGGCGUAAAGCGUGCGCAGGCGGUGCUGUAAGACAGGCGUGAAAUCCCCGGGCUCAACCUGGGAAUUGCGCUUGUGACUGCAGUGCUGGAGUGCGGCAGAGGGGGAUGGAAUUCCGCGUGUAGCAGUGAAAUGCGUAGAUAUGCGGAGGAACACCGAUGGCGAAGGCAAUCCCCUGGGCCUGCACUGACGCUCAUGCACGAAAGCGUGGGGAGCAAACAGGAUUAGAAACCCUAGUAGUCC